AGAUACGGUAACUGGGAUGGGCUGCAGCACUCCAGCGACCCUUGUGAGGAUAAAUCGACUCAGAUAAUGGAUGAUGGACGGAUGUUGCCACAAGGAAAACAUUGAGGAAUGCACUUCGCCGCCAUGGCCUGUAUGCAUUCUUACUACGCGACAACCCCUGCUGAAAAAAAACAAGUCAAAACUCUUUUAAGAAUGUACAACAGGUUUGGAGGAGAAUUAGCGAUGCACAGCUUCCUGUAAACACCAUGCCAACAGUGACGUUCGGAGGUGGGAACAUGAUGUCGUGAGGCUGCUUUUCAGCAAAUGGUCCCUGGGACUUUUAUCUAAAUCAGUUGCAUGAGUUCCUAAAAUCAAAAUGAACAUCAACAACAUCAACUCCAGAAGAGGAUUGACUUCAUGGGGUUUCUGUAGGACGAACAGCCUGCCACUGGCGCUACUGGGACAGUUCUACACAGUGGUCAUCGAUCAGUACUGAAAAAAAUUAUCAGUACCCCCCUACCCACCCUUGAGGACUUGCACGCUACCAAAAGCAUACAGACCCUCUUGGACCCUUCACAUCCUGGUCAUCAAAUCUUCCAGCUCCUUUGGUCAGGUAGGCGCUAUCGAACAAUGCAAACUAAAACAAGCAGACAUCCCGACAGUGUCUUCCUUCUUGCCAUUAAAUUCUUAAACAGUUAACGCACAACUCCGUUUUAACAUUCUGCAAAUUUUGUCUUGAGAUUGUCAUCACAUUUUUGUCGGGACACUUCC